rnacentral:rRNA from 1 species
UACGUAGGGUGCGAGCGUUGUCCGGAAUUAUUGGGCGUAAAGAGCUUGUAGGCGGUUUGUCGCGUCUGCUGUGAAAAUCCGAGGCUCAACCUCGGACUUGCAGUGGGUACGGGCAGACUAGAGUGUGGUAGGGGAGACUGGAAUUCCUGGUGUAGCGGUGAAAUGCGCAGAUAUCAGGAGGAACACCGAUGGCGAAGGCAGGUCUCUGGGCCACUACUGACGCUGAGAAGCGAAAGCAUGGGUAGCGAACAGGAUUA